GCAUGAGAUACAUGAGCCAUACGUACGAGCCUGUUACAGCCCAUCGAAAGGCCUGCUCGAUGGAUGACAAAACAUCCUAAUCGCCUGUAAUCCUCUCGCCUCUCCUGGCAGUUGCCACAUCGCGAGGAAUCGAAGUCUCUGCGACGCAUCUAAGCUCCGUCUAGGCGCCGCCAGCAGCGCCUCGCCGCUCGUCUUCAAGUCUUCGUCAAUUGUCCAUCUAAAGAAUCUGGAAUGGUGUCUAGGUUGAACAUUUAAUCCUCUGUCGCUCGUUCUGGGACCGGGUCUAGGAGUAACACCGCUGAUGAUUCAGAUCACCAUGAAUGAACGUCUAUUUUCUCAUCCUCAAGGGAACGUCGGAUGUAACAUGAUCCUAGUCAAAAGUGAUUGCAUGGAAGUGGUGGAAGUCAUGAAGAAUGGCGGUAACUCUCUAGGCGUGGCGGUAGCUAUUUAAGAGGAGUGUACUUUUUUGUCGUACUUUCACUAGUGUAAUAUUUCACAUUGUCCUAGGGAGGCUAAUAGAGCAGCUCAUAAUUUAGCUCAGUUUAGCGAGGGAAACCAAAUGUGGCAAGAACCCCUCAAUUUCUUUGAGUUGUUCUAGCAGAUGAUGUAACUCUUAUUCCUGAUCAAUAAAAACCGCCAUGAUGACUUCUCUCUCAAAAAAAAUGUGCGUGCAUGUUUGCUCAAAGCCCGGUUAAAACAGAACUACAAAGCCUCACUACAAC
rnacentral:rRNA from 1 species